UCUCCUCACUCCCUUGUCCACAUCCGCCACGGGUAGGUCGUGGCCUCCAGUUCAGCGAGGAAUGCAGCGUCCUGGGGAGGAAUGUCCUGACGGGGAACUGAAGCAGAAGAGACACCAAGGCAAACACCAAAUCCUCAAAAGAGCUCAGUCUUUACUUCUAUUUCACUCCUUUCUGUAUGCUGCCCAAUGGUGAAAUGGGGAGGUAAUACAAGCCAACCUAUUGAGUUGUUGCAAAGAAUGAGAAAAUGUUUCUACAGGGUGUCUCUCUGUCACCCACACUGGAGUGCAGU